AACACAAUAAUUGGAUGGAUGAUGAAGCACACUUGGCCUGCCUGUCCUUACAUGUUCAUGCAAGUGCGUGCCUUCGGCUAAGGAUAAACUGAUGCUUGAUUGCAAAUCAAACGAAGCUCAGCAAACGUUGCUGUUAACAGACCAAAACAUGUGAGACUAAUAGCAAAGCUGACAUCUGGACCUGGGAGGAGGGCGACGGUGCUGGGAGGCUCUGAAGUACAUCAUCUGGAGGAGGGACAGGCAAAACAACUGGAGAGGCGCUGGACGGGUCCUUAUUAACCAGUAAAACCUCAAUGGGGCCAGAAGAACUUUUCAAACGGAUCUGAUUCUGGUCUGGGCACUUCUAGCUGAGUGCCAAUGGGGGCUCGUAUUGCUAGAAGGGUGUCACCUGUGGAAGCAGUGAGUGAUAAGCGGAGGAACAUCUGAAAUCAUCAAUCAGAUCAAGGUGGAUUGACAGAACAGGAUAAAGGAGACUGAGUUCAACAAAAAGAAAUACCUUUGAAUGCUCCACAGAGGUCCUCAUGUUUUACAUAUGCCAUAGUAUUUGUGUGUUAAGGGUCAAUUGGUCAGGAACAAACAUUUUCAGAGUUCAAAAUUCUUAAGAAAGCCAUGUUUCCACCAAGCAGAAUAGUUCAGGGUGAAUCCUGUCCACCAUUCCCCAUUCCAUGCCUACCCUCUGUUUCUUUUUUUCUUUUUUGAAGUUAGGGUAGAAAAUAAAAACACUAAACAUUAUUGGAUUGUGACACAAACUAUUAACAUGACGGUCGCGGCUUUCGCAAAAGCAAACCAAAGCGUGCCAAAGCUAGCUGAACUGUGCCGCUUGCAUUGAGUGUUUGCUUGUGUGCAAUUUGCAGCAGGAUUUUGACAGAUAAAUGCACUAAAAUGGA